rnacentral:rRNA from 1 species
CCUACGGGUGGCUGCAGUGGGGAAUAUUGCACAAUGGGGGAAACCCUGAUGCAGCGACGCCGCGUGAGUGAGGAAGUAUUUCUUUAUGUAAAGCUCUAUCAACAGGGAAGAAAAUGACGGUACCUGAGUAAGAAGCCCCGGCUAACUACGUGCCAGCAGCCGCGGUAAUCCGUAGGGGGCAGGCGUUAUCCGGAUUUACUGGGUGUAAAGGGAGCGUAGACGGCAGUGCAAGUAUGGAGUGAAAGGCGGGGGCUCAACCCCCAGACUGCUCGUGAAACGGUACGGCUGGAGUGCAGGAGAGGUAAGUGGAAUUCCUAGUGUAGCGGUGAAAUGCGUAGAUAUUAGGAGGAACACCAGUGGCGAAGGCGGCUUACUGGACUGUAACUGACGUUGAGGCUCGAAAGCGUGGGUAUCAAACAGGAUUAGAUACCCUUGUAGUC